rnacentral:snRNA from 1 species
GAAUGUGAGGGCGAUCUGCUGUGACAUCUGUCACCCUACUGAUCACCAGGGUUGAUUCGGCUGAUCUGGCUGGUUAGGCUGGUAUCCCCUUCCUCCCUCCACCACUCCAUGUGCAUCCCUCCCAAAGUUGUGCACUUGGUCAAAGAGGACGACCAUCCCCACAAGAGGAGGACCGAUCUUUGGUCAAGGAUAUACGAGUAGCUGUGCUCCCCUACUAGAAACUCCAAACAAGCUCACAGCCAUGUUUAAAAUUACUGUGAAAUGUUGUCAAAACCUGAAGGUUUCCUUGCAUUUUGAAUGUAGCAACUU